UUUUUUUGGAAUGCAAUGUUUUCAAAUCUCUGAGCUAUUACCAUCAUAUAUUUCUAUAUGCUUGACUGUGGAUGUUUUUUCCCAAAAGGAUUCUUGGGUUCUUGUACUUAUAAGACCGAUUGUUUAUUGAGCUUGUGUAUAGUGGGUCUAAUCCGACUUGGUGUAGUGUGAAAACACUAUAUAAUGUAGUUUUAUGGUGUUGUUGAGUUUGACUGACUGUUGGAUUACAACCCAACUUAUCAAUGUAAUAUUUCCAUGGGUGCAAUGCUUUGCGCCUCACUUUUUUUAGGCUAGUGUGGCUACUUGCUAACUUGAUCUUAGUAUAAAAUUGGUUUGUCUCUAUAGAGCAGAGGCAACGUUGUAAUGUCUAUGAAAUCUUUAGACUGGUAGAACUCGAGUGAAUUUGUGAGAUGACGUAGAUUGAUAAGUCCAACCAUAUCUACUUGAUAGAUUCUCUUAUUAUGUGCAACCUUAUUUUUAACAAUAAAUAGGGUGGUUUCAAGUGGAUUUUAUGUCGUGCAUGUUUUCCUUCUAUGGCUUGUUUCAAUAGCCAUAAAGGCUAUGCAUAUUUUUUAGUUGUUGCAGGCUAGUCAUGUGGGCGAUAUUGACAACCCGUUUUAUAUUUUUUUUAUUUGCCAACAUUGUAUGGCAGUUUGAUUUUUUUAUGAGCAGUUUCUCUAUGCAUGCUUGUUGAAUCAUUAUUUGGACCGCUUUAUCUUAAACGAAGUCAAUGCUUAACUGGGAGUUGCUUAUGUUUGUUAGUCAUCUAUCUCUUUAAUGAUGGGGUUGUUGCAUCGGAUUGAGAUUUUUCUUAUAUGAAUGAUGGUCUGAUAGAUCAUGUAUGUCUACUACUUUGAAUGCAUCCUGUAAUAUCACGAGGUACAAAUUGUUCAAGUGCAGUAAUAGUAGGUUUUGUUGUAUGUGAGGUUAAUCAAGGUAGUUUGGUUAUGUGGAUUGUCUUAUUGACGUCCAAUUACUCCUGUUGAGCAUAGUAUCGUGUUAUUAUUUUAGUAUUGAAAGUAAUAUUUAUGAAGCUUUUGCAUGAGUCUGUGUCAAGAAGUACAUUAGUUUUUCUUGUUGUUAUCCCUCCAUUGCUUUAUGAGUAUUGUAAAUUUUAUCUCUUUUGAGAGGAGGAAAAGACGUUACAUGACAUGAGCACCAUUUGCUUCACGUCAACAGAAUAGUUGUGGAGAGCUCUAAUAGUUGGAUUCUAGUGUAAUAACAACCAUGUUUUAUAGUGCUAGAGACGGGUAUGUCAGGUGUUUCAUACAUUGUCGAUACAUGGAUGUUUGACCUUAGUGGCAUUAACAAAUGAGGUUGUUGAAUUCGUUGAUUGAUGUGCUUAGUGUUCUAACCUAUUAGGUAAAGUGUUGCUUAAAGGCUUUGGGGAGUUGCAUCCCCAUUUGGUAGUGGAAAAUCCUAGUGUUGAUCGCAACUGCCAAUGCCUUGGGUUUUAUUUUAUAUUGUUUUUUUAUUAUGGGUAAGGUGUUGUUUUGUUUUGGGAGUCAUUUUAAAUUAGUUGGAGGCUGAAUCAGGCUUCACUUAUCUAGAAUGUUUUGUAGUAGGUUUCUUCAUCUUUGCAUAGGAUGCUCAAUCACCCAGUUUGGUCUAAACAUUUGAGAGUUAUGGGUUUCCUAUAGCAGCCUUAAUUUUGUACGGAAGUAUAGACAUUGAAUACGGUAAAUUUUGGGUUUUGUUGGAUUAUGAAAGUUUUAGUAAUUUCAUGAUCUUCCCAAAGAGUAUUGGUUUGUAAUUUUCAUUGCAUAUAAUUGGAGUUAGGCUACUCUGAAGUUGUUGCACCGUUGUGUCUGAACUUUAGGUGUCGUUAAAACCACUAAUAAAUCGACCGCGUUUUAAUAGUUUCAGAGCCCAAAUUUGGGAAUUCUCUUUAAGAAAAACUUUUAGUUUUUCUUAGUACCUUUUAAUGGGUAUUUACUUGUAAUUGUCUGUUAAAUAGAUUGGGAGAGGUGGUUGUCCGGAUAUAAGUCGAAUCUCUGAUGUGCAGUAUCUCAGGCUGAGUUUAGCUGUAGGUCAUGCAGAGUUGAGGGCUAUAAAGAUAAAUUUGGGUGCAACUUUAUUGCAAAAGUCAUGGACAAUUUCCAAACUUUUCCAACGCGUGUUCGUUGUAGUUUUAAGUUGAGUAUAACAGGAGUUAUAGUAUUUUGAAUUUUAGUUGUCCAUUGUUUCUAACCUAUCAGUUUUGCAACAAAGCAGUUGCAUUAUUUUAUCGGUUUGGAAACCAAUUCUGAGACACUCAUUAUAAUAAAAGUUUUAGGGAAUGUUAUAAUCUUUUCAAUGAGUUUAUAUUUGUAAAAUUUUGUUAGAUGCAGAGAGUUGUGAGGUUUUGAAUUUAUGGGUCAUGUUCCGUCAGGUUCUGGUGGCAGAUCAUGUAUGUCGCCUUACAAGCCAAAUUAAAAAAAUGGAGAUAAAAUAAAACUUUGUUUAUCCUUUAAAUACAAAAGUUGUAGGUCAUGAAGUUUAGAUGAUUUUACAAUAUUUCUUUAUUAUCAUUGCUUUUAUAGUGAAAGAGGUAGAGACAGAAUAAGCAUUUGUGUUGUUGAUUGUCAAUUUUCUAUUUAGGGAUAUUUCUUUGGGAGUUUGGUUUAGUUAUGGUGAGCUCUUUCGCAAUCCAUGUUAAUUAUGUUGUAUGGUGGGAGGGAAUAGAUGUAGUGGUUGUGAUAGUUAUCUUGUUAUUGUAUAUGUGGAGCGUGGGCUGAAACAGAGAGAUAGCGAGGGAUAUUUGAAUAGGCCAGUACGUAUUGUUGUGAAGCCAGGUUUUCUGGUCUUGGCGUGUUUGCGUAAGUAUGAAAUAGUUACGUCAUGUGAAGUCUAGGUGGAGAUGCAGAUUGUGAGUUAUUGGAUGGAUAUAUGGGCAGGCAUAGUAUGCUUAAAUCGAUUCUUGCUUGCAUGAUGUGAGAGCAGGCUUAAAAUGAUUUAAAAAGUAAGCAUAUUGCUUCUACCCUUAUGUUGGCUCUAAGUGUCUCGUAAUGAAGAACCUAAAGUUAUUAGUCCUUCGAUGAACGCUUAAUCUUAGAAGAGUAUAGAACCUGAAUAAAUAUAUUGCUUGAUGUUUGGGACUACAUGACCAGUUUUGGUUAUGCCGCUAGUUCAAUGAAUUACACCAUGUUUUCGGUAGAGGUGUUGUAUAUAUAAGUUGUAGCCAACUUCUUCAUCUUACUUGUGUAAAAUUUCAUGACCAUAGGUCUAGUAGUUUGGGAGUUAUGAUUUUCUCAAGUCUAGUCUUGGAAUCUGUCCAGAUUCUGUACAGAUUUUGAAACUGACCUUGUUUGCCCAAGUUAAACUUCGAAACCGUUCUUAUAAAUUAUAAAGAAGUGGUAGUACUUUCCUUAAGCUUUCCAACAAAUUUUGGAUCACCCUUUUUGGUGACCUAUAAGUUAAGCUACAACUAUUUUAUUUGGAAUCUUUGAAUCUGUCCAAAUUUGGACAGCAAAGCCUUUCUUAUGUCUUUUGAUCUUGAUAUGCAUUGAAUUAACCUGAUAGAUUUAUAAAUGAAAUAAAGACAAUUUUAUUGGCUUUCUAAAAAGUCUAGGAGCGCCUGAAUUGGAUGACUGAGACUCCAAUUAUGGAUUUUUGAAGUGAGUAGUUGAAUUCUGUCCAAGUCUGGACAAAAUUUACGUUUCGCAUUGUUUGGCCUUUCUAAGUAUCAAAUCUUGUGGUGAUGAUAAUACCAAGGGUAUAGUGGACUUUGUAAGAUUUCCAUAUAGUCCUAGUUUACUUCUAUUGGAUGCAUAUUUUGUGAGUUAUGAGGAAAACAAAUAACCGUUGUGCUGCUGUCUAGAAAUAUGCAAGCAUUAAAUUGAUCUUUUGAAGUUACUCUUGUUUGGAUAGGUUUGGUUUAGGCUAUUUGAGCAUAGUAUGUAUUGCAUUCAUAUAUAUAUUCAUUGAAGUACUUGCAUGUGUCAAUGUUGAUUUGGUGUCAGGAAAGCUUUGUCCGAGUUAUAUAGGACCGUCUACUAUCUUAGCCCGAGUUGACAGCUUGGCUUAGCACCUACAAUUGUCGAAGUCUAUGAUCAGAGUACACCAUGUAUUCCAUGUCUUUAUGUUGAGGAAGUAUUUGCGGAAUCCAGACCAUGAAAUCGAGCUAGAGCCGAUUCCUGUGUAGCAAGACCAGAUUCUAGAGUGUCGUCUGCUGCGUAUCUUAGAAUCCUAGGUGCUUGAGGAGCUGAUGCAGCAGAAGUACCCGAACCUUUCUUUAUGUGUGGUGGACUUCCGGAUCGUACUUAGGGAUUUGCCCGAACUUCCGGUAAAGGUACUUGAUACAUGUUGGGAAUGAGGGGAGUAGCAGCACGUCCACUUUCACUCUCACAAUAGCGCUGCCCAGGCGCAGCCAUGAUUUAAUUAGAAAUUUAUUGUCAAAGGAAGUUUGUUUUUUUAACUAGUCGUGCGCACUAGUUAAUUCAGUUCAUGUCGUAUGUUUAACUUCUCUUUGCUAGCCGAUUAAUAAUACUUAGUAUGUUUUUGUCAUGAUAUAUGUUUAUACAUUGUUGCCCCCUCAUUUAUGCAAUUUUGCAAAGGGGAUGCUG
rnacentral:lncRNA from 7 species